AGUGAUAAGACCCGUAGUCAAGAGGGAAACAGCCCAGACCAACAGCUAAGGUCCCGAAUGCCGUACUAAGUGGCAAAGGAGGUGGCGUUUCGAAAACAACCAGGAUGUUGGCUCAGAAGCAGCCAUCAUUAAAAGAGUGCGUAAUAGCUCACUGGUCGAGAGACGCGGCGCCGAAGAUGACCGGGGCUAAAGUACGGAACCGAAGCUUUGGCAUGUAUGGAGACAUACAUGGGUAGGGGAGCGUUCCUGCAUGGGCGAAGCCUGACCGGAAGGACAGGUGGACAGGCAGGAAGCGAGAAUGCCGGUAUGAGUAGCGAAAAGAAAGGUGGGAAUCCUUUCCACCGAAAGCCUAAGGGUUCCUGGGCAACGAUCGUCGACCCAGGGUAAGUCGGGGCCUAAUCCGAGGCGCAGACGCAUAGGAGAUGGACAACAGGUUGAAAUUCCUGUACCGACACCGUCCGAUAGAGCGAGGGAGUGACACAAGAAGGAACGUUCGCAUGCGAAUGGAAGAGCAUGUCCAAGCCGGUAGGUGGCGUAUCAGGCAAAUCCGGUACGCCGAAAGCCGAGAGGUGAUGGGGAGGCUGUAGGGAUACAGAGGAAGGAACGGGGACUCAAUUGUCAAGAAAAGCUUCUAGCGAGGACGGUGGCGCCCGUACCGAAACCGACACAGGUAGGCAGGACGAGAAUUCUAAGGUGCGCGGGAAACCCCUCGUUAAGGAACUCGGCAAAAUGUAUCCGUAACUUCGGGAAAAGGAUAACCCAGAGUAGGUGAAGGGCAGAAACGUCCGGAGCCGAAAUGGGUGGCACAAGAGAGGCCCAAGCGACUGUUUAGCACAAACACAGGCGUCUGCGAAAGAGAAAUCUGAAGUAUAGAUGCUGACACCUGCCCGGUGCUGGAAGGUUAAGAGGACGUGUGAGCCGCAAGGCGAAGCAGAGAAUUGAAGCCCCAGUAAACGGCGGCCGUAACUAUAACGGUCCUAAGGUAGCGAAAUUCCUUGUCGGGUAAGUUCCGACCCGCACGAAAGGUGUAACGAUUUGGGCACUGUCUCAACGAGGGACCCGGUGAAAUUGAAAUACCUGUGAAGAUGCAGGUUACCCGCGACUGGACAGAAAGACCCCAUGGAGCUUUACUGCAACCUGAGAUGGGAUUUGGGUAUAAGACGUACAGGAUAGUUGGGAGGCGCGGAAGUGAGGACGGCAGUUUUCACGGAGCCGACGGUGGGAUACCAACCUUGUUGUACUGAAAUUCUAACGAGAGCCGUAACGAGGCUUCGGACAGUCUCAGGCAGGCAGUUUGACUGGGGCGGUCGCCUCCGAAAGAGCAACGGAGGCGCCCAAAGGUUCCCUCAGCGCGGACGGAAACCGCGCGCAGAGUGUAAAGGCAGAAGGGAGCUUGACUGCGAGACGGACAGGUCGAGCAGGGACGAAAGUCGGGCUUAGUGAUCCGGUGGAAGAGAGUGGAAUUGCCAUCGCACAACGGAUAAAAGCUACCCUGGGGAUAACAGGCUUAUCUCUCCCAAGAGUCCAUAUCGACGGGGAGGUUUGGCACCUCGAUGUCGGCUCAUCACAUCCUGGGGCUGAAGUAGGUCCCAAGGGUUGGGCUGUUCGCCCAUUAAAGUGGUACGCGAGCUGGGUUCAGAACGUCGUGAGACAGUUCGGUCCCUAUCCAUCGCGGGCGGAAGAAACUUGAAAGGGGCUGCUCCCAGUACGAGAGGACCGGAGUGGACGAACCGCUGGUGUAUCGGUUAUGCCGCCAGGCGUACAGCCGAGUAGCUACGUUCGGGACGGAUAAACGCUGAAAGCAUCUAAGCGUGAACCCGGCCUAAAGAUGAGGUUUCUCCUUGCAAGACAAGUAAGGCCCCAUGAAGACGACAUGGUAGAUAGGCCGGGAGUGGAAGUGCAGCGAUGCAUGGAGCGGACCGGUACUAAUAGGCCGAGGACUUAACUUA
rnacentral:rRNA from 1 species